rnacentral:rRNA from 1 species
CAUAGGUUAAUGAGGCGAACCGGGGGAACUGAAACAUCUAAGUACCCCGAGGAAAAGAAAUCAACCGAGAUUCCCCCAGUAGCGGCGAGCGAACGGGGAGCAGCCCAGAGCCUGAAUCAGUAUGUGUGUUAGUGGAAGCGUCUGGAAAGGCGCGCGAUACAGGGUGACAGCCCCGUACACAAAAAUGCACAUGCUGUGAGCUCGAUGAGUAGGGCGGGACACGUGGUAUCCUGUCUGAAUAUGGGGGGACCAUCCUCCAAGGCUAAAUACUCCUGACUGACCGAUAGUGAACCAGUACCGUGAGGGAAAGGCGAAAAGAACCCCGGCGAGGGGAGUGAAAAAGAACCUGAAACCGUGUACGUACAAGCAGUGGGAGCACGCUUAGGCGUGUGACUGCGUACCUUUUGUAUAAUGGGUCAGCGACUUAUAUUCUGUAGCAAGGUUAACCGAAUAGGGGAGCCGAAGGGAAACCGAGUCUUAACUGGGCGUUAAGUUGCAGGGUAUAGACCCGAAACCCGGUGAUCUAGCCAUGGGCAGGUUGAAGGUUGGGUAACACUAACUGGAGGACCGAACCGACUAAUGUUGAAAAAUUAGCGGAUGACUUGUGGCUGGGGGUGAAAGGCCAAUCAAACCGGGAGAUAGCUGGUUCUCCCCGAAAGCUAUUUAGGUAGCGCCUCGUGAAUUCAUCUCCGGGGGUAGAGCACUGUUUCGGCAAGGGGGUCAUCCCGACUUACCAACCCGAUGCAAACUGCGAAUACCGGAGAAUGUUAUCACGGGAGACACACGGCGGGUGCUAACGUCCGUCGUGAAGAGGGAAACAACCCAGACCGCCAGCUAAGGUCCCAAAGUCAUGGUUAAGUGGGAAACGAUGUGGGAAGGCCCAGACAGCCAGGAUGUUGGCUUAGAAGCAGCCAUCAUUUAAAGAAAGCGUAAUAGCUCACUGGUCGAGUCGGCCUGCGCGGAAGAUGUAACGGGGCUAAACCAUGCACCGAAGCUGCGGCAGCGACGCUGAUGCGUUGUUGGGUAGGGGAGCGUUCUGUAAGCCUGUGAAGGUGUGCUGUGAGGCAUGCUGGAGGUAUCAGAAGUGCGAAUGCUGACAUAAGUAACGAUAAAGCGGGUGAAAAGCCCGCUCGCCGGAAGACCAAGGGUUCCUGUCCAACGUUAAUCGGGGCAGGGUGAGUCGACCCCUAAGGCGAGGCCGAAAGGCGUAGUCGAUGGGAAACAGGUUAAUAUUCCUGUACUUGGUGUUACUGCGAAGGGGGGACGGAGAAGGCUAUGUUGGCCGGGCGACGGUUGUCCCGGUUUAAGCGUGUAGGCUGGU